GUGCAUUAUAUAUUUUUAAUAGCCCAAACGUUAUACCCAAAAUUUAUACCAGGAGUCCUUCUAAUUGAACCCUAAAGUUACACAGUGGGUCCAUUCCUUUUUCUCACCAUUUUAUUCUCUUUUUGUUCGAAUCUCAUGACUGCCGUUAAGGUAAUUACAAUAGAUUGGAGUAAGGAUUGGAUCCGACACUGAAGGACUUCAAGAAGUGGCUUACUUUCAAAUUAAGAAAUAUUGUUUUUAUUAAAAGCUACCUUUGUAAAACAUGGAAUUUAUUCCAUCUAUUUAAAUAAAAAUCCGGUGU
rnacentral:lncRNA from 1 species